rnacentral:ncRNA from 1 species
CAUUAGGCCAAGGGGUGCCGGUUAACGGCUGAGAUCCAUUUCAUGGGAACCCUUAAACCUGAUCCGGAUAAUACCGGCGUAGGGAUGGUGAAAAAUUUGAUU